UUCGUGAGCCAAGCUGACGUAAGGCCGAAAGCGUUGAUCGACUUGGGCAGGCUCCACUGUAGAUCGAAUCAACAAACAUUUUUACAGACUUUCUGGCCAACGAACACCACUGUCGAAGGGGGAAUACAAGCUAAUAAACUAAAACGGUACAGUAUCAGAGAAAGUGUGCCUAUAGGGGGACUAUAUUUCUUUGUGCGCCCGUGUGUGUGUGUGUGUCGGGUGCGGGUGCUAUUGCAUGCGUGUGCGUGUGUGAGUGUGGGCGAAGAGAGAGCUUUGAUAGGCGCACACACACGCACACACUCUCUGGUUUUUCUAUGGAGGGGGCGUAAUUGAUGAUGAUUUUGCUAGGGUGCCUGUUUGUGUGUGUGUGCAACAACAAUAUCAACAACCAGAUAGCAGCAGCAGCAGCAGUAACAACAACAACAACAAUAACGGCAGAAAACUUUGCGCAAAAACAGUUAUUUCACUUGGGGAGUUCAGGACUUGGCCGCUGCUGUUGCUCUUUUUGUUGCUUUCGUUGAACUCUCACACCUUUGGCCAUUCGAAAUUCGUUUGCCAUAACAUACAAUAAACAAAAAUCACCAAGUACACACAUUUCCGUAUUUUUAUACAACCGUGUGUAUACACAUACAUACACCCAGUGGGCAAUUAAAUAUUUACGUCCACCGAGCCAGCUGGUUCGCAACUUCUCCCGGAACACUCACUGUCUUCUCCGCCACACCACAAAUUGUGUGUGUUGGUGUGCACACUCGCAGCACACACAAACACACACACACCAGCGUCUGGGUCAAGUGAAAAUUUGGGCCUUCUUGUUAUUCCGCCUAGCUGGUGCUUAUGUCUCCAUGUUGCCCGAUGCGAUGUGGAUGUGCUCCCUGAACCCAACGCAAAAAAAACACCGUCAGCGCGAGCAAACGACGCACGCACGACAAGGACGUCCGCCGCACACGAUACUUUGAGCCAGUGUCCGCAUGUAGGAAAAUGGAAAAUGGAUUUUCCUGCGCCAACAGCGCCAGCAGCAGCAGUCUCCAUUUUUCGGCAACCCGAAUGCCAACGAGCGAAUCGAAACGAAUCGAGAAGAGAGCGGCAGAGAGAGUAGCGAUAGCGAGAGCGCCAGCGCCAAGUUUCUCGGGUGGAAAAGCUGCGGUCAGCCCUGUGGCAACGCAGUUGGAAAAACCAGUGCCCGCGGCCCGCUGGAAAAGCUAGGCUGCCCGCGAACUUUGCCACUGGAAGAGGAAGAUUGCACGAAAUUACGACUCCUUACAACUAUCGCUUUUUUGGCCAUCUCUAUCGCGAAUGUAAUACUCGUUAUUUUUUAAAACUUACGGCAAUUCACUUAAUGUAACUAAACGGAUACUCGUUACGGCAAUUCCAAUUACUUAUCGAAUAUUUAUCAUAAAGCUUGCCUGUUAACGCGAAA